CAGUCGAGGGGCAUCAUGAGGUAGCAAUACCUUGAUGGCGACCGGCGCACGGGUGAGUAACGCGUAUGCAACCUGGCUGAUACAGGGGGAUAGCCCAUGGAAACGUGGAUUAACACCCCAUAAUAUUAUUGUAAGGCAUCUUAUAAUAAUUAAAUCGUUCGAGGUAUCAGAUGGGCAUGCGUCCUAUUAGCUAGUUGGGGGGGGUAACGGCCCACCAAGGCAAUGAUAGGUAGGGGUUCUGAGAGGAAGGUCCCCCACAUUGGAACUGAGACACGGUCCAAACUCCUACGGGAGGCAGCAGUGAGGAAUAUUGGUCAAUGGGCGCAGGCCUGAACCAGCCAAGUCGCGUGAGGGAAGACUGCCCUAUGGGUUGUAAACCUCUUUUAUAAGGGAAGAAUAAUGACUACGUGUAGUCAGAUGCCCGUACCUUAUGAAUAAGCAUCGGCUAACUCCGUGCCAGCAGCCGCGGUAAUACGGAGGAUGCGAGCGUUAUCCGGAUUUAUUGGGUUUAAAGGGUGCGUAGGCGGUAUUUUAAGUUAGUGGUAAAACGUCGGGGCUUCACCUUGAUUGGCCAUUAAAACUGGAGUACUAGAGUACAGACGAGGUAGGCGGAAUAAGUUAAGUAGCGGUGAAAUGCUUAGAUAUAACUUAGAACCCCGAUAGCGAAGGCAGCUUACCAGACUGUUACUGACGCUGAAGCACGAGAGCGUGGGUAGCGAACAGGAUUAGAUACCCUGGUAGUCCACGCCGUANACGAUGCUCACUNGUUCUGUGCGAUAUACAGUACGGGAUUAAGCGAAAGUAUUAAGUGAGCCACCUGGGGAGUACGUCGGCAACGAUGAAACUCAAAGGAAUUGACGGGGGCC
rnacentral:rRNA from 1 species